GGAGAAAGCAGGAUUGUCUUUGAUCCAAUAGCCCAGCUCAGCAAGGACCACAGCAUUUGCUCCCUGGUCAACUCUAAAAGGAUACGGAGCAUAGCCCCACCAAAGGAACCCACAUAUGUUGAGCCUGAGCCUCUGACUUGGGACUGCCGACUGGGGACGACAGAACUUCCUCUUCGGGAGAUGUGCUGUCUACCUGCAGGGGAGGCAACAAGCAGGCCUCCACAGCAACUCUGCGUUAUCCUGGCCCAACAUGUAAGGGCGCCUGCCCCGUAAGCCUGAUGACCUGAGUUCCAUCCCCAUGACCCACACGAUGGAAGGAGUCAAUUCCUGAAAGCUUUCCUCUGACCUCUAAUCUUCGUGUGUGCACUAAAUGAAG